rnacentral:rRNA from 1 species
GGUUCGAUCCUGGCUCAGAUUGAACGCUGGCGGGAUGCUUUACACAUGCAAGUCGAACGGCAGCACGGACUUCCAGUCUGGUGGCGAGUGGCGAACAGGUGAGUAAUGUAUCGGAACGUGCCUAGUAGCGGGGGAUAUGCACGCGAAGCGUAGCGCAUCACGCCCUUCCGAAGGAAAUGGGGACCUUCGGGCCUCGCACUAUUAGAGCGGCCGAUAUCGGAUUAGCUAGUUGGUGGGAGUAACAGCUCGCAAGGCGACGAUCCGUAGCUGGUUUGAGAGGACGACCAACUACCUGGGACUGAGACACGGCCCAGACUCCUACGGGGGGCAACAGUGGGGAAUUUUGGACAAUGGGGAAACCCUGAUCCAGCCAUCCCGCGUGUGCGAUGAAGGCCUUCCGGGUUGUAAAAGCACUUUUGGCAGGAAAGAAACGGCACAGGAUAAUACCCCGUGCAACUGACGGUACCACCUGCAGAAUAAGCACCGGCUAACUACGUGCCAGCAGCCGCGGUAAUACGUAGGGUGCAAGCGUUAAUCAGGUUACUGGGCGUAAAGCGUGCGCAGGCGGUUCGGAAGAAAGAUGUGAAAUCCCAGGCUUAACUUUGGAACUGCAUUUUUAACUACCGAACUAGAAGUGUGUCAGAGGGAGGUGGAAUUCCGCGUGUAGUGAAAUGCGUAGAUAUGCGGAGGAACACCGAUGGCGAAGGCAGCCUCCUGGGAUAACACUGACGCUCAUGCACAGCGUGGGGAGCAAACAGGAUUAGAUACCCUGGUAGUCCACGCCUAAACGAUGUCAACUAGCUGUUGGGGCACUUCAGGCCUUGGUAGCGCAGCUAACGCUACGUGAAGUUGACCGCCUGGGGAAGUACGGUCACUUGAGGUCAAACUCCAAAGGAAUUGACGGGGACCCGCACAAGCGGUGGAUGAUGUGGUUAAUUCGAUGCAACGCAAAGAAAACCUUACCUACCCUUGACAUGUCUGGAAUCCCGAAGAGAUUUGGGAGUGCUCGCAAGAGGGCGGAACACAGGUGCUGUGGCUGUCGAUGGCUCGUCAUCGUGAGAUGUUGGGUUAAGUCCGCAACGAGCGCAACCCUUGUCAUUAGUUGCUACGAAAAGGGCACUCUAAUGAAACUGCGGUGACAAACCGGAGGAAGGUGGGGAUGACGUCAAGUCCUCAUGGCCCUUAUGGGUAGGGCUUCACGUCAUACAAUGGUCGGGACGAAGGUCGCCAACCCGCGAGAAGGGCAAUCCCAGAAAACGAUCGUAGUCGGAUCAUGAUCUGCAACUCGACUGCGUGAAGUCGGAAUCACAUAGUAAUCGCCGGAUCAGCAUGUCGCGAGUGAAUACGUUCCCGGGUCUUGUACACACCGCCCGUCACACCAUGGGAGUGGGUUUUACCCAGAAGUAGUUAGCCUAACCGUAAGGGCGGUGCGGUAGGAUUCAUGGCUAGGGUGAAGUCGUAACAAGGUAG